GACGAACGCUGGCGGCGUGCCUAAUACAUGCAAGUCGAACGAGAGCGACCGGUGCUUGCACUGGUCAAUCUAGUGGCGAACGGGUGAGUAACACGUGGGUAACCUGCCCAUCAGAGGGGGAUAACAUCCGGAAACGGAUGCUAAAACCGCAUAGGUCUUCGAACCGCAUGGUUUGAAGAGGAAAAGAGGCGCAAGCUUCUGCUGAUGGAUGGACCCGCGGUGCAUUAGCUAGUUGGUGAGGUAACGGCUCACCAAGGCCGUGAUGCAUAGCCGACCUGAGGGGGUGAUCGGCCACAUUGGGACUGAGACACGGCCCAAACUCCUACGGGAGGCAGCAGUAGGGAAUCUUCCGCAAAGGACGCAAGUCUGACGGAGCAACGCCGCGUGAGUGAAGAAGGUUUUCGGAUCGUAAAACUCUGUUGUUAGAGAAGAACAAGUGCUAGAGUAACUGUUAGCGCCUUGACGGUAUCUAACCAGAAAGCCACGGCUAACUACGUG
rnacentral:rRNA from 1 species